rnacentral:rRNA from 1 species
AACGAACGCUGGCGGCAGGCCUAACACAUGCAAGUCGAGCGAGGACUUCGGUCCUAGCGGCGGACGGGUGAGUAACGCGUGGGAACGUGCCCUUUGCUUCGGAAUAGCCCUGGGAAACUGGGAGUAAUACCGGAUGAGCCCUUUGGGGGAAAGAUUUAUCGGCGAAGGAUCGGCCCGCGUUGGAUUAGGUAGUUGGUGGGGUAAUGGCCUACCAAGCCGACGAUCCAUAGCUGGUUUGAGAGGAUGAUCAGCCACACUGGGACUGAGACACGGCCCAGACUCCUACGGGAAGCAGCAGCGGGGAAUCUUAGACAAUGGGGGAAACCCUGAUCUAGCCAUGCCGCGUGAGCGAUGAAGGCCUUAGGGUUGUAAAGCUCUUUCAGCUGGGAAGAUAAUGACGGUACCAGCAGAAGAAGCCCCGGCUAACUCCGUG